CUUGAGAGACCCGCGUGAACUUGUUUUGCCAGCUUGAAACAAAGAGGAAGGUGUGAGAGAAUGCGACCCGCCUCCUCCUCACUUCUAGCGACUUUGCUCACAGAGCCUAUCGUGCCCAAGGAGUUGCGACUUGCUGGUCACAGGUAGGAGGAGAAUUUGGCAGCAUGGAAACCAGGCAUCCUCUCUAAUUAUUGUGUGCAAAGAAAACCGCGUUUCCAGGCUUCAGGUAAAACAAUCCACAGAUACGUCCGUCCGAACCUUGGGCAAUCACACAAACGCCCUGCAUGUCUACCCCGCAGAGACGCAGGUAGAUUCUAUUUCAUCCGAACCUUAGGAUGCUGUUGGCCUGGGGCAGGGAUGUGCACCUGCAGAGGAAGCGGUAGACUGGCCACGGGGCUGGAUCUGGAAGUCCUGAGCCUGCUGCGUGGAAGAGCACCGAGUACCUAUUUGAACGUCUCAGUGAGAACACAGAGCAGACUUCCAAGGAAAUAAAUCACGUGGCCGCCCUGGAAAACGGAUUCAUCAUCCAAGCUCUAUACUAAGUUCACUUGCAUGCUUCACAUGGCUUUACAACCACAGCAAAUGACAGCGAUAGGAUCCAUGAGUCAAAUGCUCUAAGACAUGGGGCCGGAGUGAGGAGUCCUUUCACAGCAAGCCCCCUUCUGUCCCUGGGCUGGAAUGGAAAAGCACCAGGCAACCAGUGAGUUCCUGACCCUGCGGUAGAUUGUAUGUUCACAGUGGUGGCAUGAGAAAUACCGCACAACUGAAUGAGAUCAAGUUUAUUAUAUUCAAAGGAAUUUUCCCCUUUUAGAGAUUACACUUUUGCUUUCUGAGAAUAAAGUGCCCUUUUCUUACUUA